rnacentral:tRNA from 1 species
GCAUCGUUGGUUCAGUGGUACAAUGCUCGCCUGCCACUUGGCGGCCCGGGUUCGAUUCCCGGCCGAUGCA